rnacentral:rRNA from 1 species
UACGUAGGGGGCUAGCGUUGUCCGGAUUUAUUGGGCGUAAAGAGCGUGUAGGCGGCCAUGUAGGUCCGGUGUGAAAACUCGAGGCUUAACCUCGAAAUGUCAUCGGAAACCAUUUGGCUAGAGUCCGGAAGAGGAGAGUGGAAUUCCUGGUGUAGCGGUGAAAUGCGCAGAUAUCAGGAAGAACACCAAUGGCGAAAGCAGCUCUCUGGGACGGUACUGACGCUGAGACGCGAAAGCGUGGGGAGCGAACAGG